GUUGAGACGCAAGGAUGCUGCCAAAUAUACAUGUACAAAACGGUAUAGAUAUAAAUCGAAGCAAAAAAUAGUGUAGUCAAAAAUGCGCAGGAUUUGUUGUUGUUGUUGUUGUUUU
rnacentral:ribozyme from 1 species